rnacentral:pre_miRNA from 1 species
AAUGUUUGACGCCAUUGACUUUUUUAAACAUGUUUGACCGUUCGUCUUAUUCAAAAAAUUUAAGUAAUUAUUAAUUCUUUUCCUAUCAUUUGAUUCAUUGUUAAAUAUACUUUUAUAUAUACAUAUAGUUUUACAUAUUUCACAAAAGUUUUUAAUAAGACGAACGGUCAAACAUGUCUAGAAAAUUCAACGGUG